GACGAACCGUCCAAACGUUAUUCGGUAUCACUGGGCUUAAAGCGUGCGUAGGCGGCCUAGUAGGUGAGGUGUGAAAUCCCUCGGCUCAACCGAGGAACAGCGCUUCAAACCACUAGGCUUGAGGGAGACAGGGGUGAUUGGAACAGUUGGUGGAGCGGUGAAAUGCGUUGAUAUCAACUGGAACACCGGUGGCGAAAGCGAAUCACUGGGUCUCUUCUGACGCUGAGGCACGAAAGCUAGGGGAGCGAACGGG
rnacentral:rRNA from 1 species